GUUGCCUCGGCGGGAUCUCUGCCCCGGGUGCGUCGCAGCCCCGGACCAAGGCGCCCGCCGGAGGACCAACCAAAACUCUUAUUGUAUACCCCCUCGCGGGUUUUUUUAUAAUCUGAGCCUUCUCGGCGCCUCUCGUAGGCGUUUCGAAAAUGAAUCAAAACUUUCAACAACGGAUCUCUUGGUUCUGGCAUCGAUGAAGAACGCAGCGAAAUGCGAUAAGUAAUGUGAAUUGCAGAAUUCAGUGAAUCAUCGAAUCUUUGAACGCACAUUGCGCCCGCCAGUAUUCUGGCGGGCAUGCCUGUCCGAGCGUCAUUUCAACCCUCGAACCCCUCCGGGGGGUCGGCGUUGGGCAUCGGCCCUCCCUUAGCGGGUGGCCGUCUCCGAAAUACAGUGGCGGUCUCGCCGCAGCCUCUCCUGCGCAGUAGUUUGCACACUCGCAUCGGGAGCGCGGCGCGUCCACAGCCGUUAAACACCCAACUUCUGAAAUGU
rnacentral:rRNA from 1 species